UACGGGGGGGGCAAGCGUUGUUCGGAUUUACUGGGCGUAAAGGGCGCGUAGGCGGCCUCCGCAAGUCAGUUGUGAAAUCUCCGAGCUUAACUCGGGAAGGUCAACUGAUACUGCGGGGCUAGAGUGCGGAAGGGGCAACUGGAAUUCUUGGUGUAGCGGUGAAAUGCGCAGAUAUCAGGAGGAACACCGGUGGCGAAGGCGGGUCUCUGGGCAACAACUGACGCUGAGGAGCGAAAGCGUGGGGAGCGAACAGG
rnacentral:rRNA from 1 species